UGUCCGAGGUUGCCGGUCUUAAAUGGGCGCCAAGAUUCAAUUUCAAGUUACUUUUUAAAUUACCUCUGCUUUUGGGCGGUGGGUGGACCACCGAACCAUGCUGAUGUCUGAACCAGAGGAGAAGGAGCACUGCUCUUUCUUUUCUGCUGAAAGGUGGAAAAUACAUUAUGACCUUCCCCAGAUUUGAGGAUUUGCUUCGUUAAAGAUGCAAGAGGAUCACUACCAAAUAGUAAUUUUAAUACAUUUUCUCAUGCAGAAGUAACAGGAAGGGGUUUUUGUUGCCUAAACAUUUGAGGGUCAAAAAAUCUUCUUUUGCCAACAUAGAACAUCCACUGAGACUUUUGGUUUCCUAAAAUGGUUUGUUUUGAACUUCUGUAGGUUAUACAAUAAAUGUAGUCCAUGGAAGCUUAUCCUAAAAUAAAUUUGUUAGCCUUUAAAGUGCCAUAAGAAGACUAUUUUUGUUGCUAGGGGCUGCCCCUGUGGAGGUUAUUGUAUACAUAUUUUUAAACUAAAACACAAUUUUGUACUCUUGUAAUCAUUAAUUUUAUUUAUUAUUUAUAUAGUAUCAUAACUUCACAUAGAAUGAGAAGCAAGGUCUCUAUCCCGAAGGCUCACUAUCUAUACAAGUAUCUAGAAUCAAAACAAUGCCCAUAUCUGUGCUGAAUACAUGCUCUAAGGGGUCAGACAGAAAAGGGAGAAAUAAAGACUUGGUGCAUAGCCUGCCCUAGA